GACGGAGGAGGCAAGCGUUAUCCGGAAUUAUUGGGCGUAAAGGGUACGUAGGCGGCUGGUCAAGUCUGGGGUCAAAGGCCACAGCUCAACUGUGGAAAGGCCCUGGAAACUGACCGGCUAGAGUGAGGUAGUGGUUGCGGGAAUUCCCGGUGUAGCGGUGAAAUGCGUAGAGAUCGGGAAGAACACCUGAGGCGGAAGCGCGCAACUGGGCCUCAACUGACGCUGAGGUACGAAAGCUAGGGGAGCGAAUGUG
rnacentral:rRNA from 1 species